CCCUUAGAUGUUCUGGGCCGCACGCGCGCUACAAUGAUGAAUUCAACGAGUUUAUAACCUUGGUUGAAAAGCCUGGGUAAUCUUUUGAACUUUCGUCGUGAUGGGGCUAGACCCUUGCAAUUAUUGGUCUCCAACGAGGAGUUCCUAGUAAACGCAAGUCAUCAGCUUGCAUUGAUUACGUCCCUGCCCUUUGUACACACCGCCCGUCGCACCUACCGAUUGAAUGGUCCGGUGAAAUCUUCGGAUUGAGACUUUGAUUUCUUCACGGAAAACGCUGUUUUAAAAAGUUGAUUAAACCUUACCAUUUAGAGGAAGGUGAAGUCGUAACA
rnacentral:rRNA from 1 species